UUUACAAGUGUCAGCCGUGCAGACGCCAGCCGGCCGCCUGCGUGUGGGAGGCGGCGUCUGCGGGGAUGAACGGCCGCGUGUGCGCCCUUGUGCGCGCGCGGGUGGUUGGGGAGCGGCUGGCCUGAUCUCUCCUUGCAAGAGGAACCUUCACUUUGGGGACUCCGUUGCUUCUAAGAGAGAGCGGGCGUCAACCACAGGAGGAAGCCGGGAGGGUCCUUUUUAUUCUUGCCCGCUGACCAUGGGCAAAUCGUAGGUCCACUCCGAGCCUCCGUUUCCUCGUCUGUAAAUCAAACGCAUGAUACCCAUCAUUCCGCAUUGCAAAGACUGGCUGAGGAUGCAGAAAGUGCUAAACCCAGCUUAUGGAAAUAAGAAAACCGAGCCCAGAGAAGGAAUUCACUGGCCUUGGGGACACAGAACAAACGUGAGACGGAGCUGCGUGCAAUUGGUCUCCCUUCCUCCAUCGCUCUCCUCUUCAGUGCAUUCUCCCUGCAGCCGCCAGAGGGCAUCCAUGAGCACCUGAGUCAGGUGCCCCGCCCACAACCCUUUAGGGUCUCCAUCUUCUUGGAGGUCAAAGCCCAAGUCCUCCCCCUGCCCCAUGAGGCCCUGCACUAACUGCCCUGUCCCCUCCCUACCCCCUUCCCGUCGCUCACUCUGCCGCAGCCACACGGGCCUCCUCCUCGCUAUUCCUCCCACACAAUAGCCACUGCCCUGCCCCAGGACCUUUGCAUGGGCUGUUCCUCCUGCCUGUAAUGCUGUUUCCUCGAGAUCUUCAAAGAGCAUCGUCUCAUCAGCUGCGGAGGAAGACCUUCAGUCCACCAGUGGCUCCUGGUCCUGGGAAAUCCUCUUUCCUGGGCCCCUGUUUCCUCAUCUGUAAAAUAAACAGGUAACAUUUUCCAAACCAG